rnacentral:rRNA from 1 species
CAGCCGCCGCGGUAAUACGAAGGGUGCAAGCGUUAAUCGGAAUCACUGGGCGUAAAGCGUGCGUAGGCGGUGAGUUAAGUCUGCUGUGAAAUCCCCGGGCUCAACCUGGGAAUGGCAGUGGAUACUGGCUCGCUAGAGUGUGUCAGAGGAUGGUGGAAUUCCCGGUGUAGCAGUGAAAUGCGUAGAUAUGCGGAGGAACACCGAUGGCGAAGGCAAUCCCCUGGACCUGUACUGACGCUCAUGCACGAAAGCGUGGGGAGCAAACAGGAUUAGAUACCCCGGUAGUCCCUGUCUCUUAUAC